UUUGAGGUAACCUUUGAGGCCAUUGUUCAAAUUCAUAUUGAUUCAUUGUUUAAGUGGAUCAUUGCUAAAUAAUGAAUCUGUCUAAUUUAUAUUUUUGCUUGAGGACAAGCAAAUGUUUAAGUUUGGGGGUAUUUGAUAAGUAGGUUUUAUACCUACUUAUCCGGUAUCUAUUACUUGAAUUAGUUUCUCAAACUCAUGUUUCUUAGUUACUUUUCAU
rnacentral:lncRNA from 1 species